rnacentral:lncRNA from 1 species
UAUUUUUCCCAUUAAAAAAAACUGUCGUGAACAUUGUUUUUUAAACACAGCUAUAAUUCUUUCUUUAGGGCAAAUUUCUCAAAACGGAAUUGCUGGAUCAAAGGAGAUGUACACAUAGAAGACUUUUGUUAUGUCCUGCUUCAUUUCCCUCCUGGAAGAUGCAUCAACCUCUACGCCCACCAGCAGCCAAGUGCUAAUUUUUGAAAGUACACUGUAAUGCAUCCAAUGUAGACAAUGGUGUGGGUGAAUUUAAAGCUGCUUUUUAGUAAAUUCACAAGGAAAUAUCUGAGUCGGUUAAAAAGAAGUUCCUCUUUUCCGACUACAUUUCCAGUCAUAGGAACAAUGAGGUCUCUGGAACAUUCCAAUAGACCAAAUUUGGAAAAGAAAGCCAUUACAUUGUGGAAAAUUUAAAGGCUAAGACAUUCCAAAGACAAAUGGUAAGAAAUGACUGAGAAGCAGAAAGAACUAAUGAGGUGAUCAUAGUGCUGACUGUGACCCCCAGGACAGAGCAAAGACUAAAACAAACUCUUGGAAAGCUACUGCAUUAAAAAUAAUAACAGACUUCAUUUGGCCCAAGAAAAUUAUGGAAAUUAGCGCAGUUAUAUAUGAAAUAACAUCCUUAUUGUUCACACAAAUAACCAGAGCCAUGCUUAUUAAAGUUCAUAUUAUGCUUUUCUUUGUGGAAGACAAAGAGCUCUGAGAAUAUGACCUCAUGAGUGCCCAAUUAUUAAAGUUUGCAGCCUGGAUUAAAGGAACACAAGCAGAUGGAGUGCCAACCACCUGAAGUUUUUUUCCUUCUCUUCUUUGGUUAUUUUUAAAAUGACUCUAUUUGCUCACCAGCCUUCUAAACCAGUGUAUAAUCUCCCUGGGGCAGCCAUGGAUCCGUUUCACCUUUAUGCGCCCUACUGCCAUGCAAGCAGACAAACUACCAUGCCUUGUACACAGUGGAUGUGGAAUAAUUAUGCCCUGAAUUGAAGUCAUUGUGCCUAAUCUAUUUAUAGAGAACAGAAGUAAGCGAUGACAAUUCAUCAAAGCCAAGUAGCUAGUGGAGAGCUUGAUCUUAUUCACUUAUUUACGUUUGAUUAAUAAAUACUUCAAAACACAUGUGGUCA